AGUGAACGCUGGCGGUAGGCCUAACACAUGCAAGUCGAACGGCAGCACAGUAAGAGCUUGCUCUUACGGGUGGCGAGUGGCGGACGGGUGAGGAAUACAUCGGAAUCUACUUUUUCGUGGGGGAUAACGUAUUGAAACCUACGCUAAUACCGCAUACGACCUACGGGUGAAAGCAGGGGAUCUUCGGACCUUGCGCGAUUGAAUGAGCCGAUGUCGGAUUAGCUAGUUGGCGGGGUAAAGGCCCACCAAGGCGACGAUCCGUAGCUGGUCUGAGAGGAUGAUCAGCCACACUGGAACUGAGACACGGUCCAGACUCCUACGGGAGGCAGCAGUGGGGAAUAUUGGACAAUGGGCGCAAGCCUGAUCCAGCCAUACCGCGUGGGUGAAGAAGGCCUUCGGGUUGUAAAGCCCUUUUGUUGGGAAAGAAAAGCAGCAGGUUAAUACCCCGCUGUUCUGACGGUACCCAAAGAAUAAGCACCGGCUAACUUCGUG
rnacentral:rRNA from 1 species